rnacentral:rRNA from 1 species
GAUGAACGCUGGCGGCGUGCCUAAUACAUGCAAGUCGAGCGAACAGACGAGGAGCUUGCUCCUUUUACGUUAGCGGCGGACGGGUGAGUAACACGUGGGUAACCUACCUAUAAGACUGGGAUAACUUCGUGAAACCGGAGCUAAUACCGGCUAAUAUUUCGAACCGCAUGGUUCGAUAGUGAAAGAUGGCUUUGCUAUCACUUAUAGAUGGACCUGCGCCGUAUUAGCUAGUUGGUAAGGUAACGGCUUACCAAGGCAACGAUACGUAGCCGACCUGAGAGGGUGAUCGGCCACACUGGAACUGAGACACGGUCCAGACUCCUACGGGAGGCAGCAGUAGGGAAUCUUCCGCAAUGGGCGAAAGCCUGACGGAGCAACGCCGCGUGAGUGAUGAAGGUCUUCGGAUCGUAAAACUCUGUUAUUAGGGAAGAACAAACGUGUAAGUAACUGUGCACGUCUUGACGGUACCUAAUCAGAAAGCCACGGCUAACUACGUG